rnacentral:rRNA from 1 species
CCUACGGUGGACAGCAGUCGAGAAUCAUUCACAAUGGGGGAAACCCUGAUGGUGCGACGCCGCGUGGGGGAAUGAAGGUCUUCGGAUUGUAAACCCCUGUCAUGUGGGAGCAAAUUAAAAAGAUAGUACCACAAGAGGAAGAGCCGGCUAACUCUGUGCCAGCAGCCGCGGUAAUACAGAGGUCUCAAGCGUUGUUCGGAAUCACUGGGCGUAAAGCGUGCGUAGGCUGUUUCGUAGGUCGUGUGUGAAAGGCGCGGGCUCAACCCGCGGACGGCACAUGAUACUGCGAGACUAGAGUAAUGGAGGGGGAACCGGAAUGCUCGGUGUAGCAGUGAAAUGCGUAGAUAUCGAGAGGAACACUCGUGGCGAAGGCGGGUUCCUGGACAUUAACUGACGCUGAGGCACGAAGGCCAGGGGAGCGAAAGGGAUUAGAUACCCCGGUAGUC